GCUGCGAUGGCCGAGUGGUUAAGGCGUUUUACACGAAAUCAAAAUGGGAUAUCCCGCACAGGUUCGAAUCCUGUUCGCAGCG